UGCGCCGCGCCCGCUGGACGCCCUCCCCGCCCCGCGUCUGCCUCCUGGCUCUCUGGCUCGGCUCCUCUCGGACUGCACGUGGGUGGGGCCCGCAGGGCUGGCCCUUCUGUGACUGGCUCGUUUCGCUGAACACAGUGUCGUCACGGUUCACCUGCGGUGUCUCCUGGGUCGGAAUUUCGUUCUGCAAGGCUGAAUAACGUUCCUGCCACGGACGGGCCACGCCUAGCUUCUGCAUUCAUCCGCCAUCGGACGCCGGAGCCUGGCACGGGCUUGUGGGAGGAGCGCGGGAGGGGGAGCAGAUGGCACUCUGUUCCUUCUCCUCCUGGCUGGACUCGGUCCCAUGGGUGCUCCUCUCCUGCCCUGCUUCUCAUCGCCAAUGAGGGAUUGACGAACGGGGCUGGAGGCCCUCCUUCCCCAGACGGAGCAGAGGAGAAGCCCAAAGCCUUCACUCCGGGGAUUCCCCCCAUAGACGGGCUGCUCCACAGACCCAGAGAGGACCACCAGGGGGGCACGCGAUCCCCCCCAGUUCUUUGCAGGUGAGAGCCAGGCUCUGUCGGGAGGCUCCAGGGCCGCAGAGGACCAUACUUCAGGAACGACCCCCAGUUACCAGCCACGAGAACCACACGACCGCAUUACUAGAAAGAACUCUCGGCAGACGCCUGAAAGGCGCCAGAGUGCUCCGUAUUCCACAUCUGAUCGUAAUUAGAGGUUGAGAAUACGGGCCAGAAGGGGGCUGCUUGUGACAGACGUGCGGCUCGGGGCACACGGAAGCGUUAUUAACGAGAGGAGCUUGCCGGAGUCGGGCUCAGCGGCUGCUCCGCUCCAGUGUGCACAAACAGGGUGAUUGGUGCCCCCAGCACCCGAGUCAUGGUGGGUGACGUCUCUGCCCCCGAGCUCUGCCCUGGAGCCCCCUCUUGGCGCCUCCGCAUUUCUGGGUGGGGGUGGGGUGUGGGGAUUCGGACGGGAGAGCUGGGA
rnacentral:lncRNA from 1 species